UUCUGGUCAGAAAGGCUGGGAGGAGGUCUGGACUGGAAAACCAGUUCCAAUCAAUAGUUUCUGAGAGCUUUCAGAUUAUGCAGAUGCCAACAGGCAAGGCAGGAUCAGGCACGAUGGAGGGAGCCGACCAUGUCGCGGAGGAGGAUCGUGUUGAAAGGAAAGACAAAAGCAGCUGAGGAGCGCAUCGGGGUGAAGCAGGGCACGCAGCCUUCCAGAAGCACCUGGUUUGCCACAGGCAUGGUCGGAAGGAUAAAGAGACCCAGCUGGAGCGGCAGAUUGAGACAUGCAGAGAGACACAGAUCCCUCCUCUACCCCCCUCAAAUAAAAAGAGCAUCUCUGGAGAGGUUUGAAUGGAGUGAGAAACAUACUAUUACAAUUAUUACAUCCCCAUUCAACAACAAUUGCGUGGCAUGGUGCCAGCUGGCACCAGAAAGGCAUUGCUGCUUCUCCUUCAUUGCCCGAUACACACCGUGACAAGAAUACAGCUCUUGUUCAGCUGAGAACCU
ensembl:lncRNA